CACGUAGGGGGCAAGCGUUGUCCGGAUUUAUUGGGCGUAAAGAGCUCGUAGGCUGUUCGAUAAGUCGGGUGUGAAACCUCCAGGCUCAACCUGGAGACGCCACCCGAUACUGUCAUGACUAGAGUCCGGUAGGGGAGCGUGGAAUUCCUGGUGUAGCGGUGAAAUGCGCAGAUAUCAGGAGGAACACCAGCGGCGAAGGCGACUUCCUGGCCUGUUCUUGACGCUGAGGCGCGAAAGCUAGGGGAGCAAACGGG
rnacentral:rRNA from 1 species